rnacentral:rRNA from 1 species
GUCUUUAUGAUCAUAAUAUAAAGUCUGACCUGCCCUUUGUGAAAUAUUAACGGCCGCAGUACUAUGACUGUGCUAAGGUAGCAUAAUAAAUAGGUUAUUAAUUAUGAUCUGGAAUGAAAGGUUUGACGUGAUAAUAGCUUUCUUAUUUAUUUUUCUGAAAUUGAAUUAUUAGUAAAAAUGCUAAUAUUAUAUGAAAAGACGAGAAGACCCUAUUAAGUUUUACAUUAUUUGCUUAUAUAUUUAGUAAAAUAAAAGUUGAUUAAUGUUUGAUUGGGGCGAUUAUUAACACUAACGUUAAGAUUUUAAUUUUAAAUAAAAAUUUAAGAACCAAAAAUUUUGGGUGUUAGAAUAAAUUACUAUAGGGAUAACAGCAUAAUUAUAUUGGAGAGUUCUUAUUGAUAAUAUAGAUUAUGACCUCGAUGUUGGAUCAGGAUAUUCUAUUGGGUGCAGGGGCUUAGUAAGAUGGUCUGUUCGACCUUUAAAUUCCUACG